rnacentral:snoRNA from 17 species
UCCUAUGAUGAUUUCUUUAAUCGCUGUGUUCUUACUGAACCCCAUUGAAGAAAAACCAUAUUUCACCUUGGAGAACUGAUCU